UCGAACGAAGCUUGACGAAAGAUUUCUUCGGAAUGAAUUCUGAUAUGACUGAGUGGCGGACGGGUGAGUAACGCGUGAGCAACCUGCCCUUCGGAGGGGGGAUAGUGUCUGGAAACGGACAGUAAUACCGCAUAAUGUAUUUUUACCGCAUGAUAGAAAUACCAAAACUGAGGUGCCGAAGGAUGGGCUCGCGUUGGAUUAGAUAGUUGGUGGGGUAACGGCCUACCAAGUCAACGAUCCAUAGCCGGACUGAGAGGUUGAACGGCCACAUUGGGACUGAGACACGGCCCAGACUCCUACGGGAGGCAGCAGUGGGGAAUAUUGCACAAUGGGGGAAACCCUGAUGCAGCAACGCCGCGUGAAGGAAGACGGUUUUCGGAUUGUAAACUUCUGUUCUUAGUGAAGAAAAAUGACGGUAGCUAAGGAGCAAGCCACGGCUAACUACGUGCCAGCAGCCGCGGUAAUACGUAGGUGGCAAGCGUUGUCCGGAAUUACUGGGUGUAAAGGGAGCGCAGGCGGGAAGCCAAGUCAGCUGUGAAAACUACGGGCUUAACCUGUAGACUGCAGUUGAAACUGGUUUUCUUGAGUGAAGUAGAGGUUGGCGGAAUUCCGAGUGUAGCGGUGAAAUGCGUAGAUAUUGGGAGGAACACCGGUGGCGAAGGCGGCCAACUGGGCUUUAACUGACGCUGAGGCUCGAAAGUGUGGG
rnacentral:rRNA from 1 species